UUGAACACUAAUUCAGAACAAAUUAAGCAUCUCAAUGUUCUCGCGCUCCAACUCCCUUCUUCUUCCCUUGGCUUUCCCUGCGUCGUCCCCUCACAAAAAAAAACCAUUCCCUGCGUCGUCAACUUCCUCGUCGAGUCGUCGGUGGUUCUGGCCUCCUCGCCAGUCGCCGGUGGGUUUCUUUUCUCGCCUCCUCUCCAGGAUGGAAAAAUUGGGGUUCAUGGAGACCUGUCUGCUGGCGCCACAAGCUUGUCCGUGAAUGCAUUUACAAGAAAACUUCUAGCUCCAUCACCUGCAGUGAUGCCUCUGCGAGUCCAAUAUGAUGUGACAAAUCCAAAUUCAGUCUAGAAAUGGUUGGAUAGAUGGUCAAUAUCCUGCCCAUGGAAACCAAUUUCUCCCCCAAAGAAAGUCACUAACUCCAAGGUCUAAAAGAAGCAAGGGAACUCACUUGUUAUUGAUGGGUAAACAGGCAGGCCUAAGAGCAAUUUUCGCAAGGUUCCUUCCCUUUAUGAUAACAUGUCAACGCAGUCCACCUCUGAAGUAGAAAAAUCUCGGCGAAAUCUGAAGAAAGUUGUAAGCCACCCCGCAGAUUUGGUGCAAGAAAAUCCACAACAUGAGCUUGAGAAGGUUAGACGUAGCCUUAGCAAAGUUCACACCCCUGUAUCCGAAAGCUCUAUUUAGCCUCAGACUGAGAUUUCCAACUUUGAAUCGAUAGAUUCAGAUGCAGACUAAUCUUCACCGAGUUUCUGAGAUUGUUGUAACACCCAAGGAUACAGAUGAUGCUGGUGGGAUACAGAACAACAGGACAUCAUCUAUUAAACGAUCUCGAGAGAAUGAAAUUGCAAACAACAGAGAAUGAUUUUGAUUUUCGAAUGGAUCUAAGUGACGAAAAAUUGAAUUGCGAACAACGAAGAUUUUGCUUACAAAGAUUGGAUCAAGGUUUGUCACUUUACCAGUAGAGAGACUUCUAGCAGUAGUCAAUGUCCUGCUCCACCAGUGCUACAAGUAUCCAACUGCAACUACUGCGGAGGUGCCUCAGUCUCUUAGGAAGGAGCUUUCCGGUGUCUGUAGGGCUUGCUUCUCAGCAGAUGCUGUAAACAAGCAUGUUGAUUUCGUGCGAGAGUACAAGCCAGACUUUGAACGUGAUAUUGAUCCAGAUAACACUUCUACCUUCCCAGCAACACUUUCUGAACUCACUGAGACAUUGAAGCAUUGGAAUAAUGUUCUGCAAAGCAAUGUUGAGGACAAAUUUCCUGCUGUGCUGAAGCUGGAAGAGGAAAGCAGGGUUUUGCGUGAUUUCCAUGUUGUUGAUGGUGAGCUUCCAGGACAGUAUUUCACUGAUCAGAAACUCGAAGCUUACGCACACGCUGCAGAGCUCUUGAGGUGAGAUACUUUAGCCCAAUAUUUAUCCCUUGAAGGAUCAGAUUACAACUAAGCCUUGUUGAACCGACAUAUGGCUGUAAGUUAUCUGUCUUAUUUAUCCAGAUUAGUCCUAGCGCUGCAUACUUGGGGGAGACUUUAUGCUCCCUGAACUUUGCAUGGAGUAUGUGAUGAUUGAGAACUUCAUACUUAUUUCUUAUUUUAGUUUGUUGGCUUCAGCUUACUAAAAUUUAUGUACUUUAAAGGUUUUUGAUGCAAUUUUCCUAUUCUUCUUAUCCAAAUAAACAACUUGCUGAUGCUCACGUUUGUCUUAAAAAAUCACCAUAAUACAGAAGCUGAUUUCUUGAUCCGAAAGAAGUAAAUCCAUCUGUAACUUGGUUCUUUAGCUGCUUUUGACUUUGUUCUAUAAGUGAAUAAACCUGCCAACUUCCUGUUCUAACCUUAUCUGUAUGUGUGUUUUUUUGGGUGGGAAUUUAUUAGUUUAUGCAGAUGGAAGUAUCUGUCUUGACAUUCUACAAAACCAGUGGAGUCCCAUAUAUGAUGUUGCUGCUAUCCUAACGUCAAUCCAGGUCUAUACUCCGAGGACUGCGCCUUAUGCUAGUGAGGAAAUUGAUGUGGUUCGUGAGCAAUGGGCGAAGUUUUUUACCAGCAAGUAUUUAUUAUUGACCUGAGGAAGCUUGAUCGAGUUGGUUUAGAUGUAUAGAACAAUCUUUUAUGUUAAAAUGCAUGGGUACGUUGAAAUUGGAACGUAUGUAUAUUUAAAUGUAUUAGCACGUGCACUUUGGUUUUGGAAUAUAUACAAAACUACAGUUAUUGUUUAUA